rnacentral:lncRNA from 1 species
GAGGAACGUCCCCUCUGAGAUACCACAGGCACACUUCACCAGUGGAUUUCUUUAACCAAGGACACAGAAUACUUUCUACAUUCUGCAAAAACAGUUGAAUCCAUUUUUUUUAAAGUUUCAAUGCCAUUAGAAAAGAAAAUGUGAACACAAAGCAAAACACGGGGAGAAAGAGUCCCUCAUUCCAGAAACCUAUUGAUGUCAUGUCCCCUGAAGGACAAUCUUUCUCACUUAAGAGAGAGAAGCCAGAUGAAAGGCCAUCUUCACAUGACAGUGAGCAGGCUUGCACAACUGAUCAAAGACGGACACAGAAAUGCAAAGCAACGUGAAUUUCCAUUGAAAACCCCCCCAAAAGCACACAGUGAACGAUUCCAAACUAUGAAACUGAAGAAGCACUCAUCAAGAGAUCAUCUGUUCCCACUGAGCAUCCUUUUGAGCCUGAGGAGUAGGGAGCCACCCUGGGCCCUAUAUCCCACUCACCCUCUCCUCUCUUCCUUCUGUCCACACCACCCAAGACUUCCUCCACUCCCUCCGGGAGGGAUAGAAUUGUAGUCCAUGGCAGUAUCCAGGAUUAGAACCAUUGCUUCAUUAAAUAAAGUACCUCUGUUGCUAUAAACCAGAUGGAGACUGUGGUGCUAUUUUGUUUUUGUUUUUUAAUGGAAGGGUGUUGGGGUGGCAGUUUUUAUCCUUGAAGACCUCAGAUAUGCUAAAUCAACCUAAGCAAAGUAUACUCGGUGGAACCCUAGCUCUGUGGGGUGAUCUGCAAAAUAGAGUAUCCUGGUCAUGUAAGUUCAGGAAAUGCUACAGACUCAAGGAUUAUUUUUGGGGAUUCACCAUGCACAGCACACACUGAAGGCUGAAAAGUCCUUGCAGAAAGGAAACUGACUUAACUUUGUUUCUUAAGGAUAUUUGACCACAAAACCCUUAGUUUGCAUCACACCAACCUGAUGCCUCCUGGAACCUGUGUUCUGUAGAAUGCGUAUUAGAAAAUGUUGGACAACCUGUUUCAUUAUCAGAAGUCCCAUUUCUGAGGACAGUGUUCUCUGCCUGGAAAUAAGGUCCAGAUUCUCAAUUCCAGGGACAGCCAAGGUCUGUCACUCUACCCAGUAAAACACAUUGCAUAAAUCUCCAUCCAUCAAGGGUAUAGUUGCUGCGCCCUUCACAAAGGGGAGAGAGCUCGGAAGAAGGUACACAACGUUUUAUAAAUAGCUUCAGCUACCUUCUCCGGCCCACAUCUCACUCACGUUAAAUAAAAUAAUUUCCCCGGUGAGAUGUUGCAGCUGCUGCCCACUGAGCUUGCUGUGAGCUUUACAAUACAAUCUUAAUAGUUUCUGUGAAUAAAUUAUUCAAUUUUUGUUUGUUUAGAAUAUCCUCACCCCUUCACUAUAUACUGCAUCAAAA